AUCCCCUAGAAAUUACCCAUUUCUCAUCUCGCUCCCGAAAAAUUCUCGGAAUCUCCUGUCUACUGGGAUCGGAUCUGUAAUUGCCCGUUCCUAGCUAUGGAACUCUAUUCCAUAUAAAAUUUUAAUAAUUUAUACUACUACAAAAUCAUAACGAGCCGACAUGAGUCGUGGGUUAGUUCAAUAGUUUCUGAGGCGCAAAUACGGCUAACCAACAGUCCAAUUUCUCGAGUCCGAUGAUAAAGAUUUUGGUGUUUUGUGCUUUCUUGGAGGAAAAGUGUACCGAAACGAGGAACGAAGACAAUGGUGGCCGGCGCGGCUAAUAGUGAAUUUACGGGACAUGAUCAUACAGAACAUGGCCGGCUUCUGUGCACCAGCUCUCAAGUCAGACAAAUCUCGUGCACAUGUAAAAUUAUAUAGCAACUCUGAUCAUCAAAUUGAUGGUUUCUAUCCUCCUAUUACAUGUAAGUGCUCACGCUAGUUUUCACCUUUUUUUUUUUCGAGAUUUGUUUUUCAGUGUAAUGAGUUUUUUUUGUAUUGUUACAAAUUCAGGAUUAAGGGAAUUGGUUAAAAAGAUAGGGCUUCUAACGUGUUUUUGAAAUUGAGGAUGUUUUUUGGCUUGAUGUCUGACGAAAUAGCCAAUGCAGUUCUGGAGUUCGAUGAAAAGGAUCCGUUUACUUUGUUCUAACUCGGAAAAAGAGUGUUCCAGAGAAUUCCUGAGAACGAGAUGCAAAGACAGUGGUGGUUGGUUAAUAGUGAAUUUAGGGAAGACAAUGGUGGCCGGCGCGGCUAAUAGUGAAUUUACGGGACAUGAUCAUACAGAACAUGGCCGGCUUCUGUGCACCAGCUCUCAAGUCAGACAAAUCUCGUGCACAUGUAAAAUUAUAUAGCAACUCUGAUCAUCAAAUUGAUGGUUUCUAUCCUCCUAUUACAUGUAAGUGCUCACGC
rnacentral:lncRNA from 1 species